CACGUGGGUAACCUGCCCAAGAGAUAGGGAUAACACCUGGAAACAGAUGCUAAUACCGGAUAACAACAGAUGAUGCCUAUCAACUGUUUAAAAGAUGGUUCUGCUAUCACUCUUGGAUGGACCUGCGGUGCAUUAGCUAGUUGGUAGGGUAACGGCCUACCAAGGCGAUGAUGCAUAGCCGAGUUGAGAGACUGACCGGCCACAUUGGGACUGAGACACGGCCCAAACUCCUACGGGAGGCAGCAGGG
rnacentral:rRNA from 1 species